rnacentral:pre_miRNA from 1 species
CAACUUUCAUCCUACACCGUUGGAUCGAGAAAUGGACGUCCGAGAUUCGUCCACGUCACUGCGAGUUAAAUUUUAACUCAUGGUGACGUGGACGAAUCUCGGACGUCCAUUUCUCGAUCCAACGGUGUAGGAUGAGAGUUA